GACGGACGCUGGCGGCGUGCCUAAUACAUGCAAGUAGAACGCUGAAGGAGGAGCUUGCUUCUCCGGAUGAGUUGCGAACGGGUGAGUAACGCGUAGGUAACCUGCCUGGUAGCGGGGGAUAACUAUUGGAAACGAUAGCUAAUACCGCAUAAGAGUAGAUGUCGCAUGACAUUUGCUUAAAAGGUGCAACUGCACCACUACCAGAUGGACCUGCGUUGUAUUAGCUAGUUGGUGAGGUAACGGCUCACCAAGGCAACGAUACAUAGCCGACCUGAGAGGGUGAUCGGCCACACUGGGACUGAGACACGGCCCAGACUCCUACGGGAGGCAGCAGUAGGGAAUCUUCGGCAAUGGACGGAAGUCUGACCGAGCAACGCCGCGUGAGUGAAGAAGGGUUUCGGAUCGUAAAGCUCUGUUGUAAGAGAAGAACGAGUGUGAGAGUGGAAAGUUCACACUGUGACGGUAUCUUACCAGAAAGGGACGGCUAACUACGUG
rnacentral:rRNA from 1 species